GAUAAACGCUGGCGGCGCACAUAAGACAUGCAAGUUGAACGGACUUAAUCGAAAUAUUUAUAUUUUGAAGCGGUUAGUGGCGGACUGGUGAGUAACGCGUAAGGAACCUGCCUAUUAGAGGGGAAUAACAGUGAGAAAUCAUUGCUAAUACCGCAUAUGCCAUAGAUAUCACAUGAUAACAGUGGGAAAGGAGCAAUCCGCUAAUAGAUGGCCUUGCGUCUGAUUAGAUAGUUGGUGGGGUAACGGCCUACCAAGUCGACGAUCAGUAGCCGGACUGGGAGGUUGACCGGCCACAUUGGGACUGAGAUACGGCCCAGACUCCGACGGGAGGCAGCAGUCGGGAAUAUUGCGCAAUGGAGGAAACUCUGACGCAGUGACGCCGCGUAUAGGAAGAAGGUUUUCGGAUUGUAAACUAUUGUCGUUAGGGAAGAGAAAGGACAGUACCUAAGGAGGAAGCUCCGGCUAACUACGUG
rnacentral:rRNA from 1 species